CGGAGGAAAAGAAACUAACAAGGAUUCCCCCAGUAACGGCGAGUGAAGCGGAAGAGCUCAAGCUUAAAAUCUCCAUACUUGUAUGGCGAAUUGUAGUCUAUUGAGGCUGUUGUCAGCAUCGCGAUUGGGGACAAGUCCCUUGGAAAAGGGCAGCAUGGAGGGUGAUACUCCCGUCUCUGCUCACAUCUGCGGUGUGUACGAUACGCUUUCUUUGAGUCGAGUUGUUUGGGAAUACAGCUCAAAGUAGGUGGUAAAUUCCAUCUAAAGCUAAAUAUUGGUGCGAGACCGAUAGCGAACAAGUACCGUGAGGGAAAGAUGAAAAGAACUUUGAAAAGAGAGUUAAAGAGUACCUGAACUGUUGAAAGGGAACCGUAUCGUUUCCAGUGUUGUAUCCUAUGCAUAUUUCAUUCGUGGAGUAAUUUCGGGUGCCCUGUGCAUGGGUGUGACGUCAGGGUCAGUUUGUAUGCAGCGGGAGAUGGUCAGUGAGGAGGUGCGUCACUUCGGUGAAAGUUAUAUCUCGCUGUCUAGUAGCCGUGGUUGAGACUGAGGUGCCUACAACAUGCCUUAAGGUUCUAUGUUGUCUCGUGUUGGUGACUGCUUUGAUAGCUUGCUAUGUCUGUGGUUUAUUAAUGCGAUUGAUGAUGUGGAUAACUUUUGCUGUUCGGGACUCUGGCGA
rnacentral:rRNA from 2 species